UAGGUGUACGAUUCAAAUUAUACGGGCUAUUUAAGCAACUAGAGCACGUGACCAGAUCUAAUGUCUGGCUUGUUUCGUGAGGGUCUAUUGCUGGUUUGUCGUUUGUCUCCAUGGAGCAACACUGUUUUAAGUCAGCUGUCUCUGCACAGUUUGACUUGUUCGAGGCAUUUUUUGGGAAACUCAAGUUUGUGCGUUCGUGUCCUUCACACAAGUUUUGUAAAUCUAGGAGGCAGCCUGACGGAAGGCCUACGCAAGAAAGGCGGCAGAAACCGGCACGGUCACAAGACGGUCGGUCGACAAGGCGGAGGACACAAACAAAAGUAUCGAGUGAUCGACUUCAAGAGACUGUCGUUCUCUCGUUCUACACCUCAGCAGGUUCGCGAGAGAGUUCUCGAUAUCGAGUACGAUCCUUGUCGUUCUGCGCGCAUUGCGCUCGUCGCAGGAAGGAGCAGAAAGUACGUCAUUGCCCCGGAUGGUUUAGAUGCCGGUCACGUGAUUACGGCGCAGUUGGGCCAACCCGAUAAAUUGCAGUUGCAACGUGGAAAUUCGUAUCAGUUGAAGUACAUUCCCAUAGGUCAGGAGGUCCAUAAUAUUGAAUUGAAUCCGGGAAAGGGAGGACAGAUUGUGCGAGCGGCAGGAACGGUGGCCAAAGUUCAGAGGAAAACUGAUAAUCUGGUUACUAUUCGGCUUCCUUCUGGCCAACUGAAAGACUUAAGAGGAGAAUGUAUGGCCACUUUAGGUCGGGUGUCGAAUAUUGACCACAGAAAUCGAGUUUUGGGAAAAGCAGGAAGAAGUCGGUGGCUUGGAAUCAAGCCGAAGCCAAACAAGCAGAGAAAGGCUCACAAGAAGAAGCUUGCUGUUUGAUCAGCUUAUGUUAACAGUUACUGAAAGUGUCAUGGCAACAGCCAUUUUACUUAAACUGUAUAUUUUCAGUGGAAAAUUGCAUUAACAAUACCAGUAACCUUUGUUACUUUGUUUUUGCCACUUUUCUAGCAGUAAGGGCUUAAAAUGUUAAUGACCAGGAAUGUAUGUUUCUUGAAGAGAAGACUGGAAGAUUUCAAGAUUUCAUCAAUCGCAGGUCUACAAAAGCAUUUUUCUUUUACUCUUAACUCAUUCUUCUGGAAGACUGCAUCGAUAUCAUUUUCUGGUUAUAUUGUGAGGCCACAGGUGUAGCGUGUAUUGAUGAACUCUCAUACACGCCAGGGUCUCUGUCUUGCUUGUGCAAUUAACUUGUGGGUAUCAAGCAAAUUAAUAAUUUUUAACAGUAAAACUAAAACGCCGAGAUAUAGCUAUAGUCCUAUACAUACGAUGAACUUUCCUAAUAAGUCAAGCAAAGCACAAUUUAUCUGCACCUGACAUUAGAAGCAUAGAAAUCAUCCACCUUCUAGAGUUAACGUAUGUAGUACAUGUACCUAGACAAUUACAAUCUGCGACCUAAAAUAUGUGAAACCAUGGGCAUCGUUCACUACUGUAUUUUCCCAUAUAAAAAGAUCAAAUUAACCCUACUCAUCACGUGAUUCUCAAAUUUUGUAGUUGAUUUAUUAUGCUUGCUCCUUUCGAUUACGUUGUACCUCGUUGCCUACAUAAAAUAGUUGAUACCCUUAGGGUUAGUCUGAUACAAGAUCGCUUACGAGCUGACGAGCUGAUCAACAGAGAAGAAUACAACAGACUUUCUGCACUUCCGAUCGAAGAGGACAGGGCUCGUCUGUUGCUCAACGAGAUCCUACCUAAAAAGGGACCUGAAGCAUACGGCAAAUUUCGUGCCAUCCUACUGAGUGUGGUUGGACAAGAGCACAUCGUCAGAGACAUCUUGGAUCCCAUGGAAAGCCGGCCGCAGAUUGCAGAGGCACCAUGGCCAGUUGCAGCUGCCUCACGUGCACGCUCUUCUAGAUCUAGCAGAUCCAACUGCAGAGACGAGGAUGAGGCUCCACAGCACCAGUCUUGUACUGCUGCACCUCCUGCAAAGAAACGGACAAUCUCAUCGUCUGUGAAUACAGGUUUAUCUAGCAGUGAUGACACCAGUAGCUCGUACAGUGAUGAUGAAGACUUAAUUCAUCCUCACCUUGAUAAACAUGUCACUUUGCAACAUGUCAAUGCUGUCAAAAAAUGGGGCAAUGAACGUUGGCGCCAAAUUGGCCGAGCUUUGAAAUUCAGUGACACGGACCUUGCUGACAUAGCAUCUCAAUUUAACCACGAUGGUGACAAGGAAAAGCUUCAUCAAGUUAUACACAAAUGGAUACUAAAAUAUGGCAAAAAGGCCACCUUACGGACAUUGCUCAAAGCUUGCAGGAAUCCUGAAGUA